GUCCCUGUAGCGCAAUGGAUAGCGUGUUGGACUUCGAAUCCAAAGGGCAUGGGUUCCAAUCCCACCAAGGAUG